rnacentral:rRNA from 1 species
AACUGUAUGUCAUAAUAUAUAGCUAUUUCUGCUCCAUGGAGAUCUAAAUAGCCGCAGUACCCUGACUGUGCAAAGGUAGCAUAAUCAGUUGGCUUAUAAUUGAAGUCUAGAAUGAAAGAAUAUAUGGGUAACUGCUGUCUUAUAAGUAGAAUUUAAAUUUAGUUAGCAAGUGCAAAUACUUGCAGAURUAUAAUAGACGAGAAGACCCUAGAAACUUACUUCACUUUUGUUGGGGCGACAGAAUUACAAAGAACUAAUUUUAUAGUACCUGAAGUAUUAGCUGAUAGAUAAAGUUACUCUAGGGAUAACAGCAUAAUUUACUAUAGUUUGUGACCUCGAUGUUGGACUAGGUACGGCAGUUUUUAGAAGAACCUGUUUGUUGCUCUGUUCGAGCAGUGUCACCUACAU